UACGUAGGGGGCAAGCGUUGUCCGGAUUUAUUGGGCGUAAAGAGCGUGUAGGCGGCCCGAUUAGUCCGCUGUGAAAGUCCAGGGCUCAACCCUGGAAUGCCGGUGGAUACUGUCGGGCUAGAGUCCGGAAGGGCGAGGUGGAAUCCUGGUGUAGCGGUGAAAUGCGCAGAUAUCAGGAGGAACACCGGUGGCGAAGGCGGGUCUCUGGGCCGUAACUGACGCUGAGGAGCGAAAGCAUGGGAGCGAA
rnacentral:rRNA from 1 species